CUGUUAAAGGGAAUAGGAAAGUGGAAGGGAAGGUAAUUUUUGUGAAUAAUUAUGUCUCUCUAAUCAGAAAGACAACAGGAGAAGAACGACAUUCACUGUGUACGCCUUCUGUGUGGUAGGCUGUUCAGCUGGAGGAGCUACUGGCAGUGUGUUGCUGUGUGUGUGCUGUUGGAAAUACAGAGACUAGAAAGAGCAAGGUACCUGCGUACCUAUGCAGUGUGUUUUCUAUCUUACAGUGUAAAGAAAUUGCCAUAGCUCUUGCAGAAAAUGUUCUGUGUGUUGCUCUUGUCUUAGACUGCAGUGUAGUAGCAGCCUGUUCAGGCCACCUGAUCAGCCACAUGAUGCGAAGUGGCAAAGCUCAAACAUUGCCAGUAAAUUCUACAUUUUGUGUUGUUAGCAUGCUCCAAAGUAAAAUUAAUUGUGGUACCAACUAAUGAGCAUUCAAUUUGACAGAUAAGCUGAGUAAUACUUUUUUUUUUCUGAAAGAAACAGCUGGAUAGCUUAAUUAGGCUUCUAGAGAGAAAUAGUGGAAUAUAUUUCCAAAACACUAGACACAUACUUCUAAUGCUUGCCUAUUUCUGCUGCUAAAUGUUGGCAGCUGCAUGGAUUUUAUUCUCCAUUUAACACUUCCUAUUAGAAUCAACUGCAGAGUACAACCAUAUCAGAAUAGGAGUCCCUUAGUCUAAAUGGAAAUAUGGGACUAAGCUAGCAACAGGGGCAUGAGUGAAUCAAGGUGAACAGUUGACUAAGGCCAGAGAUUUUCAAUCAGAGACACAGCUCAGAAGAAAGUCAAGAAAGAUUCCUGUUGUAUCAAAAUUAAGUCACUAAUGUGCAGCCCGUUCCUCUGCUUCAGAUGCUGAAAGUUCAUCACACAUACAUGAACAUGAAAGAAAAACCUGUGCAGAAUGACCUUAAUCCAGAAGUUCCAUCAACUGAUGAACUGUUUGGCUUGAAACACCAUGCAACCAAAGAAAGAUGGCAGGUUCUGACCUUUACAAGCAAUGAACAUGUCCCUGUGACUCUGUCAGUGUGGCUGUUAUUUGAGAUAUACCUUUGAAGAACUGCAUCCCCAGCUACAGUAGUAUCCAGAGCUGGUAUUCAUCUGACCGCUUAGGACCUGGGGAUAGAAUCGGUGAGAAUCUCAUUAUAUUAAUUAAUGUUUUUAAGAUAUAUCUUGAAAAUUAAUGGGCUUAUUAGUUCUUCCUUCUAGUUUUUAUUCUGAUAGUAGUGGGAUGAGUUAGUCGGUGGCCAUGUAUAUUCUCAAAUACGCAGUUAAGAAAAUUUCACAAUCAGUUAUUUUACCCUCUUAUGCGUGC
rnacentral:lncRNA from 14 species